CAAGAAGAACCGAUGUGCAUCCAAAACACGCUAAACACUGUUUCACUUAAGUUGUCCCUCUCACUCAGCUUCACCAAAAACUAAAGUUGUCUUUCUCAACCUAAUUUUUUCACUCCCCGCUCAAUGUUGAGUUUCCCUCUCCAUGAAAAUUCCCUUUCCUCUCGAUGAAGCCCUCUCUCCCUAUCUGAGUUCAAACCCUCUCUCUCUCUCUCCCUCUCUAUCACAUCUCUGCACCUAAACCCUCUCUCCCCAGCUCUACCUUUUCUAAGCCGACUCUCACAUCUCAGAGAGACAGAGGCAACGAGGAGGUGGACUUCGGUCGGCUUCGUCACGAGGAUCGACGUCGGCGCCGUCUUCUGGAUCGUCGUCGGCGCCAUCUUUUGGAUAGUCGUCAUCGCAGGUAACUUCUCUUCGAGGUCCAGAGAGCGAAUCAGAAAGACAGUCGAAAAGGUGAUGGCCAUCGGUGUCAUCGAUCGCGGUCACGGUCAUCGCGGUCCUAGCCUUUUAGAGAAGAAGAUCGGCAAAGGGGUUUCAUUUCAUUUUCCUCGACUCUCCGACGCCAACCCCGACCCCAACUCCAAUCCUCUCUUCGAUCUCGGACCUCAAGAUCCAUAUCUCUUGUUUGGGAGUCUGCAGGAUCUUGUGGACUUGCUGGAAUUGAAUGUGCCUCUCAUAUAUAAUAUACAUAGACAGCUGGGGAGUGGCUGGACCAAGAUUCCAUAGAGGAAUUGGGCUUUUACAAUUUAACUGGAGGAAUCCCACAAUCCAUGAGUGUUUUAAAUUUAAUUCACUUGUAAUUUCUAAACUACAAUACCUUGACCUUUGGGGGAGUAAAAUAUCUGACCAAGCUAGUUGCUGGAUUAGCAGCUGAAAUUGUUGGCAGGACCAAGUCUGAAGCUAACAACUAUGAAAGCCUACAUGGUAGUAUAUAUGUCAUUAACUUUCUCUCCGAAUCUCUCUCUCAGUAAAGCAGGUAGUACUGGAUUAGUCCUCAAGCUGCUAUCAUUCUAAAGUCGCAUAGAUCUUUUUGCUAAGUUUAGGUUGUUGCUAAACAGGUUUAUGUUUAAGGUUAUUGGGGUCUCUUUCGUGCAGGUCCUUCCGACACCACCAACUUGAAAAAUGUGCAAGAGGCAGAGCUAAGUCAACCCAAUUACAAAUUGAUGAAGUUAAGAUCAAAUUAGUAGAAUUUGUGAGCUCCAUUAUUAUGUCUAAUUAUAGGUAGGAAGUAUGUAUGUAAUAGAAUAAAGAUUGGUUGACUAUGUAAUAAUUAUUGAAUCUUCAAGUUUUAUGAAAGAAAUAAUUUUUGAGUGUAUA